rnacentral:pre_miRNA from 1 species
CUUGUACUCCCUCCGUCCAACAAAGGAUGUCUCAACUUUGACUAAAUUUGAAUGCAUCUAUACACUAAGUCAUGUCUAUAUACAUCCAAAUUUUGACAAACUUGAGACAUCUUUUGUUGGACGGAGGGAGUAUGUA